UAAGUAUUCUAAUACAUAUUGGCAUUGCUUCCUUGCAUAUAGGAGUUUUCAAGCGUUCACUGUUCUUUUGGUUCUCAUCGGAAUUUCACCACGAAGCAUUUUACAUUGGAAGACAUCAACGUGAAAUUGAUGUUCAGCUGACAAGAAUUUGUGUUCCCCACGACUUUGGAAGAAGACCUAGAUCUCUUGAAGACAUGAAGCAUUAGGGUUUCUCUGCCAUGACAAUGAAUGUUCAUAGUCUCACUCAUUUAUCCGAACAGGUGUUAAAUACAGGACCUUGGUGGUGCAAUUCUAUGUUUCCGUUCGAGAAUAUGCUAAAGAAAAUUGGGUAUCUGUACUCGGGCACUAAGAAUGUAGGAGAUCAGGGAUUGCUUUGAUGCAUAUAUACUAGCUAGCUACCCAUUUUAUGAUGAGUCUGAGGGACUUGUACGAAAUAAAUUGUGCUGAUUUGCUGUCUUUCAGAUUGUUAAUAACUUUCUUCUAAGGCAGCAGUUGUCAAGGUGCCAAUUUAUCAUUGCAUGAUGUCAUUGACAACUUUACAGUCAUUUGCGCCUUUGUAGGCAUCAAUCUGUCAGAAAACAACACUCUACAAGUGGCACCAAACAUUGAGUUUCUUUUUUCUACGGCUCAAGAGAGUUUAACGUGGAGAGAAAAACAAGAACUUACAGGAUUUGCCAUUGCAACAGUUACUGAGCUAGCGAAGACAACAGCAAGAGCUACAAUCAAGCAUGAAGUCUUCCACAGACAGAGUUACCAGCGAAUGGAUGCAACGUGUAGCAGCUUUGUUAAAGUGACAGUCAAUAAUAGGAGGGUAUUUAAAUAUAUUGCAAAAUUUUUCUUCUAUAAUGCUAAGGCAUUUGCUGUGGUAAAACUAGUGCAUC